UACGUAGGGGGCAAGCGUUGUCCGGAUUUAUUGGGCGUAAAGCGUGCGCAGGCGGUUUUGUAAGUCUGAUGUGAAAUCCCCGGGCUCAACCUGGGAAUUGCAUUGGAGACUGCAAGGCUAGAAUCUGGCAGAGGGGGGUAGAAUUCCACGUGUAGCAGUGAAAUGCGUAGAGAUGUGGAGGAACACCGAUGGCGAAGGCAGCCCCCUGGGUCAAGAUUGACGCUCAUGCACGAAAGCGUGGGGAGCAAACAGG
rnacentral:rRNA from 1 species